UACGUAGGGGGCAAGCGUUGUCCGGAUUGACUGGGCGUAAAGCGCACGCAGGCGGUCGCGCGCGUGGGGUGUGAAAUCUGGCCGCUUAACGGCCAGGCGCCAUCCCAUACGGCGCGACUCGAGCCAUGCAGAGGGCGGUGGAAUUGCCGGUGUAGUGGUGAAAUGCGUAGAGAUCGGCAGGAACACCCCAGGGGGGAAACCAGGCCGCCUGGGCAUGCGCUGACGCUGAGGUGCGAGAGCGUGGGGAGCGAACCGG
rnacentral:rRNA from 1 species